ACGCUUGUCGAGAGCUCUGUCUGUGAUUUGCGUUCUUUAGCGCGCAAUGGUAACCGACUGUUGUGUUCUUUUAUUUGAAAGAAUGCCCAGCCAAAUGCCAUCCAUAACAUAUUCGCAUCACAGUCUGAGUUCUUGCUGAGCGU
rfam:Glossina fuscipes fuscipes unplaced genomic scaffold Scaffold739, whole genome shotgun sequence.